UACGUAGGGGGCUAGCGUUGUCCGGAAUCAUUGGGCGUAAAGAGCGUGUAGGCGGUCCGGUAAGUCCGUUGUGAAAGUCAGGGGCUCAACCCUUGAAUGCCGGCGGAUACUGUCGGGCUAGAGUCCGGAAAAGGCAAGUGGAAUUCCCGGUGUAGCGGUGAAAUGCGCAGAUAUCGGGAGGAACACCUAUGGCGAAGGCAGCUUGCUGGGACGGUACUGACGCUGAGACGCGAAAGCGUGGGGAGCAAACAGG
rnacentral:rRNA from 1 species